CUUAGUGGAUCGAGCGGCGGAUGGGUGAGUAACACAUGGGCAACCUACCUAUAAGACUGGGAUAACUCACGGAAACGUGAGCUAAUACCGGAUAAAACAGAUGAUCACCUGAUCAUCUGAUAAAAGGCGGCUUUUAGCUGUCACUUAUAGAUGGGCCUGUGGCGCAUUAGCUAGUUGGUGAGAUAAAAGCUCACCAAGGCAACGAUGCGUAGCCGACCUGAGAGGGUGAUCGGCCACACUGGGACUGAGACACGGCCCAGACUCCUACGGGAGGCAGCAGUAGGGAAUCUUCCGCAAUGGACGAAAGUCUGACGGAGCAACGCCGCGUGAACGAAGAAGGUUUUCGGAUCGUAAAGUUCUGUUGUUAGGGAAGAACACGUACCAUUCGAAUAGGAUGGUACCUUGACGGUACCUAACGAGAAAGCCCCGGCUAACUACGUGCCAGCAGCCGCGGUAAUACGUAGGGGGCAAGCGUUGUCCGGAAUUAUUGGGCGUAAAGGGCUCGCAGGCGGUUUUUUAAGUCUGAUGUGAAAUCUUGCGGCUCAACCGUAAGCGGUCAU
rnacentral:rRNA from 1 species